rnacentral:rRNA from 1 species
UACGAAGGGGGCUAGCGUUGCUCGGAAUGACUGGGCGUAAAGGGCGCGUAGGCGGAUGGCUUUGUCGGGCGUGAAAUUCCAGGGCUUAACCUUGGGGCUGCGUUCGAGACGGGUUGUCUUGAGUGGGGAAGAGGGUCGUGGAAUUCCCAGUGUAGAGGUGAAAUUCGUAGAUAUUGGGAAGAACACCGGUGGCGAAGGCGGCGACCUGGUCCUUUACUGACGCUGAGGUGCGAAAGCGUGGGGAGCAAACAGG